AGUGGAAUUGCCAGGUCAAAUGGUAACUUUUAUGUUUAGCUAUUUGAAGAACUGCCAGACUGUUUUCCAUAGUGGCUGUACCAUUUUACAUUCCCACCAGCAAU
rnacentral:pre_miRNA from 2 species